rnacentral:lncRNA from 1 species
GAGAGCAAGCUGCAGAGGGAGGUUUUUCAUGGCUUUUUAACAGAGAUUUUGAGGCAUUUGAAGCUGAACAGAACCUUACCAGAGAAGGGCACUCUCAGGUAUGAAUGCAGCAGGUAUAUUGUUUGAUUUUGGAUCCUUGCUAUCCUUUUGCAUUUCUUGUUGAUAUCUGGAUAUUCAUUGAUUUGCUUGGGGUGGAUAUUGGAGGCCACCGGUUUGUUUGUUGAGAGAUAAUCCUGCCUUUAUGUUUGUCAUUAUUGAUUUUAACUUGCUUUGCCUCCAUUUGUGAUGAUGAGAUGCUCAAGAUUCAUGUCUGUGUCUACA